rnacentral:lncRNA from 1 species
CUCAGUGCCACGGCGCACUCCAAGAGUGAUGCAGCUGGACUUGCCGACCCCAUCGUCAGCCUUGUUGACUGCAGACCUCCCGACACUUUUGGCUGAAAGUGCAAAGGUUUUUGAUUCAUCUGACAUCCCCACAGCUCUCACUUUGCAGAAAAAAUAUCGGGAUAUAUAUCGUAUAUCGAAAAUCAACCUAAAGAUAUCGGGAUAUGACUUUUGGUCCAUAUCGCCCUACGAUGUAUAUGGCAGUGAUGCAAGAUCACCACAAAGAUCUGUGGGUCGAGCCAUCAGGAUUCAUCAUCUCCCCAGAGUUCCCCUGGAUUGGAGCAUCUCCAGAUGGCAUAAUAACUUGUGCUUGCCGUGACCGUGGUGUACUUGAAGUGCCCAUUCAAAAGCCAGGACUGUUCACUCCGAGACAGCUGCAGGGACCCGUC